GACACGUGAAAUCCUGUCUGAACAUGGGGGGACCAUCCUCCAAGCCUAAGUACUCCUUAUCGACCGAUAGUGAACAAGUACCGUGAGGGAAAGGUGAAAAGCACCCCGACGAGGGGAGUGAAACAGUUCCUGAAACUGGAUGCCUACAAACAGUUGGAGCCCAAGGUUCGUCCUGGGUGACAGCGUACCUUUUGUAUAAUGGGUCAGCGACUUAUGUUCAGUGGCGAGGUUAACCGUUUAGGGGAGCCGUAGGGAAACCGAGUCUGAAUAGGGCGAUUUAGUCGCUGGGCAUAGACCCGAAACCGGGCGAUCUAUCCAUGAGCAGGUUGAAGGUUGAGUAACAUCAACUGGAGGACCGAACCCACUGUCUUUGAAAAGCCAGGGGAUGACUUGUGGAUCGGAGUGAAAGGCUAAUCAAGCCCGGAGAUAGCUGGUUCUCCCCGAAAGCUAUUUAGGUAGCGCCUCGGACGAAUACCACAGGGGGUAGAGCACUGUUUCGGCUAGGGGGUCAUCCCGACUUACCAACCCCAUGCAAACUCCGAAUACCCAGGAGUACAAUCACGGCAGACAGACAGCGGGUGCUAACGUCCGUUGUCGAGAGGGCAACAACCCAGACCGCCAGCUAAGGUCCCCAAGUACCAGUUAAGUGGGAAACGAUGUGGGAAGGCUCAGACAGCUAGGAGGUUGGCUUAGAAGCAGCCAUCCUUUAAAGAAAGCGUAAUAGCUCACUAGUCGAGUCGGCCUGCGCGGAAGAUGUAACGGGGCUCAAACUGGUCACCGAAGCUGCGGCUGCAUACUUUGUAUGCGGGGUAGGGGAGCGUUCUGUAAGCCUGCGAAGGUGAGUUGAGAAGCUUGCUGGAGGUAUCAGAAGUGCGAAUGCUGACAUGAGUAACGACAAUGCGGGUGAAAAACCCGCACGCCGGAAGACCAAGGGUUCCUGCGCAACGCUAAUCGGCGCAGGGUGAGUCGGCCCCUAAGGCGAGACCGAAAGGUGUAGUCGAUGGGAAACGGAUUAAUAUUUCCGUACCUUGGAUAGCUGCGAUGGAGAGACGGAGAAGGCUAGGUGAGCCGGGCGACGGUUGUCCCGGUUUAAGCGUGUAGGGAGUGGACUUAGGCAAAUCCGGGUCCACAAUUCUGAGACGCGACGACGACUGCUCUUUGAGAGCGGGAAGUCAUUGAUGCCCUGCUUCCAGGAAAAUCUUCUAAGCUUCAGGCUAUUCGAGACCGUACCCCAAACCGACACAGGUGGUCAGGUAGAGAAUACCAAGGCGCUUGAGAGAACUCGGGUAAAGGAACUAGGCAAAAUGGUGCCGUAACUUCGGGAGAAGGCACGCUGGUGGUAGGUGAGACCCCUUGCGGGUGGAGCUGACGCCAGUCGAAGAUACCAGGCCCCUGCGACUGUUUAUUAAAAACACAGCACUGUGCAAACACGAAAGUGGACGUAUACGGUGUGACGCCUGCCCGGUGCCGGAAGGUUAAAAGGAGAUGUGAGAGCGUCGAAUUGAAGCCCCGGUGAACGGCGGCCGUAACAAUAACGGUCCUAAGGUAGCGAAAUUCCUUGUCGGGUAAGUUCCGACCUGCACGAAUGGUGUAACGAUCUGGACACUGUCUCAGCCAUGAGCUCGGUGAAAUUGUAGUAUCGGUGAAGAUGCCGAUUACCCGCAGUGGGACGAAAAGACCCCGUGAACCUUUACUAUAGCUUAGUAUUGGCUUUGGAUAAGUAAUGUGUAGGAUAGGUGGGAGACUUUGAAGUGGCGUCGCCAGGCGUUGUGGAGUCAUUGUUGAAAUACCACCCUUUGCUUAUCUAGAGUCUAACUUCUUGCGAAGGACAGUGCUUGGUGGGUAGUUUGACUGGGGUGGUCGCCUCCAAAAGAGUAACGGAGGCUUCUAAAGGUUCCCUCAGCACGCUUGGUAACCGUGCGUAGAGUGCAAUGGCAUAAGGGAGCUUGACUGAGAGACAUACAGGUCGAUCAGGUACGAAAGUAGAGCAUAGUGAUCCGGUGGUUCCGCAUGGAAGGGCCAUCGCUCAAAGGAUAAAAGGUACUCCGGGGAUA
rnacentral:rRNA from 1 species